ACAAGUUUUUAUUCAUAAUUGAUGCAGAUACAACCUAGCUCUAUUCAACUCAAGGUUGGACGGGAGGCUUGUCCAAGUCCUCUUGAGGGCGGAAGAAGGCCUUCUCUUCCAACACCGAGCCCCCGUUGGCGGCACCAGGGUUGCGGCCCGAACCCGGAUUCUCAUCCGUUGCAGGCCCGAACACCCCUGUCUUAGGAUGAGGAGCCCAGUACUCGUCCGGCUGAGGCGGGAUUACAUGGUCUGGGACCACAGUCGAGUUCACAUUCUC
rnacentral:lncRNA from 1 species